UACGGAGGGUGCAAGCGUUAUCCGGAUUCACUGGGUUUAAAGGGUGCGUAGGCGGGUAUAUAAGUCAGUGGUGAAAGCUCCGGGCUUAACUUGGAAACUGCCAUUGAUACUGUAUAUCUUGAAUGUCGUUGAGGUUAGCGGAAUGUUGCAUGUAGCGGUGAAAUGCUUAGAUAUGUUACAGAACACCAAUUGUGAAGACAGCUAACUAAGCGAAUGAUUGACGCUGAGGCACGAAAGCGUGGGGAGCAAACGG
rnacentral:rRNA from 1 species